UACGAAGGGGGCUAGCGUUGCUCGGAAUCACUGGGCGUAAAGCGCACGUAGGCGGAUCUUUAAGUCAGGGGUGAAAUCCUGGAGCUCAACUCCAGAACUGCCUUUGAUACUGGGGAUCUCGAGUCCGGGAGAGGUGAGUGGAACUGCGAGUGUAGAGGUGAAAUUCGUAGAUAUUCGCAAGAACACCAGUGGCGAAGGCGGCUCACUGGCCCGGUACUGACGCUGAGGUGCGAUAGCGUGGGGAGCAAACAGG
rnacentral:rRNA from 1 species